UACAGAGGUCCCAAGCGUUGUUCGGAUUCAUUGGGCGUAAAGGGUGCGUAGGUGGCGCGCUAAGUCAGGUGUGAAAUUUCGGAGCUCAACUCCGAAACUGCAUUUGAUACUGGCGUGCUUGAGGACUGGAGAGGAGACUGGAAUUCACGGUGUAGCAGUGAAAUGCGUAGAUAUCGUGAGGAAGACCAGUGGCGAAGGCGGGUCUCUGGACAGUUCCUGACACUGAGGCACGAAGGCCAGGGGAGCAAACGGG
rnacentral:rRNA from 1 species